rnacentral:tRNA from 1 species
UCCCGGGUGUCUCAGACAGUAAAGAAUCUGCCUGCAAUGCAGGAGACCUGGGUUUAAUCCCUGGUCCAGAAG